UACGUAGGGUGCGAGCGUUGUCCGGAAUUAUUGGGCGUAAAGGGCUCGUAGGCGGUCUGUUGCGUCGGGAGUGAAAACUCAGGGCUUAACCCUGAGCCUGCUUCCGAUACGGGCAGACUAGAGGUAUGCAGGGGAGAACGGAAUUCCUGGUGUAGCGGUGAAAUGCGGCAGAUAUCAGGAGGAACACCGUGGCGAAGGCG
rnacentral:rRNA from 1 species